rnacentral:rRNA from 1 species
GAUGAACGCUGACAGAAUGCUUAACACAUGCAAGUCUUUGGCGAAGCUGUGCUUGCACAGCCUAGCCAAGGCGGACGGGUGAGUAACGCGUAAGGAACUUGCCCUGCAGUCAGGGAUAACAGACGGAAACGACUGAUAAGACCUGGUAAAGUCAGGCGGACUCAUGUCCAGCCUGAUGAAAAGAGAUGCUGCAGGAGAGCCUUGCGUCCUAUUAGCUUGUUGGUGGGGUAACGGCCCACCAAGGCGAUGAUAGGUAGCCGGCCUGAGAGGGUGGACGGCCACAAGGGGACUGAGAUACGGCCCUUACUCCUACGGGAGGCAGCAGUGGGGAAUAUUGGACAAUGGGGGCAACCCUGAUCCAGCAAUUCUGUGUGCACGAUGAAGGUUUUCGGAUUGUAAAGUGCUUUCAGCAGGGAAGAAAAAAAUGACGGUACCUGCAGAAAAAGCGACGGCUAAAUACGUG